rnacentral:miRNA from 1 species
GCAGACACAUUCCAGCCAAUCAGCAGCAGACCCUCCCUCCCAGACCCUCCCACCUCCUGGACAGCAUCCAUUUUACAUUCAUUGUGAAGCUGCAUUCUUAGUGAGCUGUCCAGGAGGUGGGAGGGUAUGGGAGGGAGGGUCUGCUGCUGAUUGGCUGUAAUGUGUCUG